AAUCCACACCCACAGUCACCUGGCAAUGGCCAGGUAGGCCUGGCCCACUAUAAAAGGGGCUGUUUGCCUCCUCCCUCUCUUGCUCUCUUACUCUUUCUCUUACUCUCUUACUCUCCUUCCCUUGUCUCUCUCUUGCUCUCUUGCUCUCCCCCUCUCCGCAUCCCCCCCACACACACACACAUGUCAAUGGCCAGCCUACCAUAAAUGCCUACAAACCAUCCCAACCACUUUCACCGCUGCCAAGCUGCCGCCCAGGCAAGCCAAGGAUUCUCCUCCCCAUGGGAACCAGCUGGAGCUCUCUCCUCCUGUCCUUUCACCUGAGGCCCUGAGCUAGAGCCAGCCCUGUGGGUCCCCAACUCUGUUCUCAGCUCUUCUGCCAGCAUCCAGUGGUGUGUGUGGUGCCCAAGAGCUAGAAACUGCUAUUCCUGCCCUCUGUGUAUGCCUGGAGGCCUGAGCCAAUUCUGGCAGGUUUGUGGGGACCUCAGACUGCACUUCCCCACAUCCGGAGCAGGGUCCUGCAGCUUCUCACAGCCCAAGGUUCACUUAUCAGUGGUAGCAUAAGGUUUUUCUGCAGCCUGAGCCAAAGGUUUCACAUGGAGACUGAAAAAGAGAGAUGAUAUGGGCAGUAUGUGCAAUCAAGGAUUUGUGCUCAUGAAGCUCGGACUAAUAGGAUGACUCCACCGGAAGAGAAGAGCUACAUCACCACAGCCUCACUCAGUACCCUCAACCCUGCAAACUAAAGAGAGAUACAUAGGGGAUUGAGGUGUGUCAUAUUCCCCGCUGCUGCCUGAAGAUCAAUAUGUAAAACACUCAGCUCCUUCUCCAGUAUCAUAUCUACCUGCAUUCCACCUUGCUUCUUACCAUGGCGAUAAUAGACUAAACUACUGAAACUAUGCCAGUGGAGGCCAGAAGAAAGCAUUGGAUCCCCUUGAACGGGAGUCAUAGGAAAUUGUAAGCCACAUGAUAUGGUUUCAGGAAUCGAACUUUGCUCUUCUGGAAGAACAGCAAUAUCUCUUAACUACCAAACCAUCUCUCCAGCUGUAUGAUUGCUAGAUUUGUGGUGAUAUAUGAUAUGAGUAACAGAGAAAUGUGUAAAACACAUAUGUCAAUGGGAAACCUGAUAAAUUCAAUCAUGAUAUGUCCCUGUACACUCCAUGGAACUCACUGUUUCUAAGAACAGAAAUACCUGAAGACUGAGUUUCACCAUGUAGCUAUGACUGUCCUGAAACUCACAAACCACAGAGACAGGCCUGCACCUGGCGUUUGAAGGCAUGCAGGAGUGUGUCCUGCUAGAAUCUACCUAUUCCUAAAUGUGGUUAUCUGAAGUAUGGUAUUAAAAUAGCCUGUAAGCUAUAAUUUCUAUAAAUGUCUUUCCAAUUAUCUGAAACACUGCUUCUCAUACAAAUAAAC
rnacentral:lncRNA from 1 species